rnacentral:rRNA from 1 species
GACGAACGCUGGCGGCGUGCUUAACACAUGCAAGUGGAGCGACGAACCAGGGCUUGCCCUGGGGCAAAGCCGCGAACGGGUGAGUAACACGUGGGUAACCUGCCCCGAAGACCGGGACAACCCGAGGAAACUCGGGCUAAUACCGGAUGUGGUUGCUCUUCAUAAGUAGAGCAAGCAAAGGAAGCUUCGGCCUCCGCUUCGGGAUGGGCCCGCGGCCCAUUAGCUUGUUGGUGAGGUAACGGCUCACCAAGGCUUCGAUGGGUAGCUGGUCUGAGAGGACGAUCAGCCACACUGGGACUGAGACACGGGCCCAGACUCCUACGGGAGGCAGCAGUGGGGAAUCUUGCGCAAUGGGCGACAGCCUGAUCCAGCAAUGCCGCGUGGAUGAAGAAGGUUUUC